ACAACGGACCCCACCGCCUCCUUCCACCUCCCGAUCGAUCUCCUGUUCGUGGACGAGAGCGCCGCCACUGCCGCACCAAACCCCGCGUGAUUCGCGCGACCCCUUGCUCCUUUUCCAAUCUGAGGCCGCCGUGUGGUUCCUCUCGAAUCCUUCAAUCAGUCCUCGCAGGCUCCACUUUGUUUUCCCCUAGGAAUCGAGCGUAAGGACCUCACCAAGCUCUGCCGACUCCGGCGAUUCUGACGAACGAUUUCGGCCACACAAGACCGCACCACAUCGAGCUCUUCAACAAAUCCGGAUCUCGCCGAAGUAUUGCCCUUGCCGGAGCUUCCCCGAAUAGUUCCAUUGCCUCUGAACACGGGAUACCGAGCUCCCGAUCACGCCCAAAAUCGCCAACACCAUCGAGCGACGGUGCGCCAGGAAAGGACGCUCCCAUCUCCGUUGAAGCUACCAUCGUCUCCGUCAUCGCAAGCCGCAUCCGCUCUUCACCUCAUCUUCACUGGAGAGCCACCGGAGGAGCGCCGCCAGCCACGUCCGAAGCCGUCGCUGUUUUCCCCUGCUUCGAUUGCUCGGAGCGUGACGAGUAGAAUUAUCAGGAUUGUGAGUACGAUGAUCUUCAUCCGACUUACAG